GAGUUUGAUCCUGGCUCAGGACGAACGCUGGCGGCGCGCCUAACACAUGCAAGUCGAACGGAGUCAAGAGGAGCUUGCUUUUCUUGACUUAGUGGCGAACGGGUGAGUAACGCGUGAGUAACCUGCCCUGGAGUGGGGGACAACAGUUGGAAACGACUGCUAAUACCGCAUAAGCCCACGGUGCCGCAUGGCACUGAGGGAAAAGGAUUUAUUCGCUUCAGGAUGGACUCGCGUCCAAUUAGCUAGUUGGUGAGGUAACGGCCCACCAAGGCGACGAUUGGUAGCCGGACUGAGAGGUUGAUCGGCCACAUUGGGACUGAGACACGGCCCAGACUCCUACGGGAGGCAGCAGUGGGGGAUAUUGCACAAUGGGGGAAACCCUGAUGCAGCGACGCCGCGUGGAGGAAGAAGGUUUUCGGAUUGUAAACUCCUGUCGUUAGGGACGAUAAUGACGGUACCUAACAAGAAAGCACCGGCUAACUACGUGCCAGCAGCCGCGGUAAAACGUAGGGUGCAAGCGUUGUCCGGAAUUACUGGGUGUAAAGGGAGCGCAGGCGGACCGGCAAGUUGGAAGUGAAAACUAUGGGCUCAACCCGUAAAUUGCUUUCAAAACUGCUGGCCUUGAGUAGUGCAGAGGUAGGUGGAAUUCCCGGUGUAGCGGUGGAAUGCGUAGAUAUCGGGAGGAACACCAGUGGCGAAGGCGACCUACUGGGCACCAACUGACGCUGAGGCUCGAAAGCAUGGGUAGCAAACAGGAUUAGAUACCCUGGUAGUCCAUGCCGUAAACGAUGAUUACUAGGUGUUGGAGGAUUGACCCCUUCAGUGCCGCAGUUAACACAAUAAGUAAUCCACCUGGGGAGUACGACCGCAAGGUUGAAACUCAAAGGAAUUGACGGGGGCCCGCACAAGCAGUGGAGUAUGUGGUUUAAUUCGAAGCAACGCGAAGAACCUUACCAGGUCUUGACAUCCGAUGCAUAGUGCAGAGAUGCAUGAAGUCCUUCGGGACAUCGAGACAGGUGGUGCAUGGUUGUCGUCAGCUCGUGUCGUGAGAUGUUGGGUUAAGUCCCGCAACGAGCGCAACCCUUAUUGCCAGUUACUACGUUAAGAGGACUCUGGCGAGACUGCCGUUGACAAAACGGAGGAAGGUGGGGAUGACGUCAAAUCAUCAUGCCCUUUAUGACCUGGGCUACACACGUACUACAAUGGCGUUAAACAAAGAGAAGCAAGACCGCGAGGUGGAGCAAAACUCAAAAACAACGUCUCAGUUCGGACUGCAGGCUGCAACUCGCCUGCACGAAGCUGGAAUCGCUAGUAAUCGCGAAUCAGAAUGUCGCGGUGAAUACGUUCCCGGGUCUUGUACACACCGCCCGUCA
rnacentral:rRNA from 1 species